rnacentral:rRNA from 1 species
ACGAACGUUGGCGGCGUGCUUAAUACAUGCAAGUCAACUGAAGCACCGGUAGUAAUACUGGUGUGGAGGUGGCGCACGGGUGAGUAACACGUAGGUAAUCUGCCUUCAGGUCUGACAUAACCCCGAGAAAUCGGGGCUAAUAGCAGAUGAUGCAGCGGCUUGACAUCAAGACAGUUGUUAAAGCUUCGGCGCCUGAAGAUGAGCCUGCGUCUGAUUAGCUAGUUGGCGGAGUAAUAGCCCACCAAGGCGACGAUCAGUAGCUGGUCUGAGAGGAUGAUCAGCCACACUGGAACUGAGACACGGUCCAGACUCCUACGGGAGGCAGCAGUAAGGAAUAUUGCUCAAUGGGAGAAAUCCUGAAGCAGCAACGCCGCGUGAGGGAUGAAGGGCUUUUGCUCGUAAACCUCUGUAGUGAGGGAAAAAUUUCCAUUCUAUGGAAUAUGAUGGUACCUCAAAAGUAAGCCCCGGCUAACUACGUG